AAUAUCGGGUAGAUUUUAUUUUCUGUUCACUGCAACAGCCAUUUGCACCAUUGCAAGAUACACACACUCCCUGUGAGCCUCAGUUAUGGCGGUCAUUUGACAUUAUGCUCACUGCCUCCUACUUAUAGAGUGAUAGAACUAGCUUGAAAAAUUAUGUGGAUAACUGAUUUGAUCAGGGCGUAAGUCUUCUUUUUCCAGGACAUCCUAUUUAAGUAAAAUAGAAGGCCAUUGACCUUCUGAAAAAGGAGUUAGUGCAAGUUUGGUUCUUGUCCAUGAUGUAAGAGGUCUUCAAACUAAAGUUCUUUGCUUGUUUCUCCGCAAUAUUC
rnacentral:lncRNA from 1 species